rnacentral:rRNA from 1 species
UGGGGAAUAUUGCACAAUGGGCGCAAGCCUGAUGCAGCCAUGCCGCGUGUGUGAAGAAGGCCUUCGGGUUGUAAAGUACUUUCAGCGGGGAGGAAGGCGUUAAGGUUAAUAACCUUGGCGACUGACGUUACCCGCAGAAGAAGCACCGGCUAACUCCGUGCCCGCAGCCGCGGUAAUACGGAGGGUGCAAGCGUUAAUCGGAAUUACUAGGCGUAAAGCGCACGCAGGCGGUCUGUCAAGUCGGAUGUGAAAUCCCCGGGCUCAACCUGGGAACUGCAUUCGAAACUGGCAGGCUAGAAUCUUGGAGAGGAGGGUAGAAUUCCAGGUGUAGCGGUGAAAUGCGUAGAGAUCUGGAGGAAUACCGGUGGCGAAGGCGGCCCCCUAGACAAAGAAUGACGCUCAGAUGCGAAAGCGUGGGGAGCAAACAGG